rnacentral:rRNA from 1 species
AUGAUGCUACCAAAGAAGGAUGGAGGGCUAGGUUUCAGAUAUCUCCAUGUGUUUAAUAAAGCCAUGUUGGCAAGGCAAGCAUGGAGGUUAGCAAAUGCGCCCAACUCUCUUUGCGCUAGAGUUCUAUCUGCUAAAUACUACCCAUCAGACCCUAAAAAAAAAUACUACCCAUCAGGUCAGUUAUUAGAGCAGUGCCAAAGGAUGGCAUGUCUUAUUCAUAAAGAAGCAUCCUUAAAGGAGUUGAACUGCUAA